AUCUGCCUCUCCUGAUUCAGCACAAACUCCCACAGUGCAAGGAAUAAAGUUCAGCUUCAGGAUUUCAAGCUGGCAAGCUUGGAUCAGAGCUUCCAGUUUAGGCCAUAGGGAAAAACUUCAUAAUUUGUGCUUUACAUUUCUGACUCUCAAUAGAAGAGUUGCUUAGGCACAAACCGUGAACCUCUGUCAGUAGGUUUUAGAACAGACUGCAUGGUGGUUCAUUGUCUAUUCCCUACAAUCUAAUUUGCAAUACAAAUGGCUUUCUCCUGAUAAUAGUCUUCCACUCAAGUAACCACAAAAGCCAUUAUUUGUUAACUCAAGCUACUGUCAAAAAUAAGUCCAUUUCCUACACAGGACUAGCAAAAGGAGAAGUGUCACUAAGAAAGACAUGUGUGAUGUGUUGCUGUCUCAGAAUAUUUUGUUUUCCUAACAGAAAGCCAUACAGAAGAUGGCUUGUAUUAACAAUGCGCCUGACAAAGCCAUUCCAUGAAGAUUUCAUUAAAACGUGAGAAGUAACACACCUCUUUUGGAGAAUUUGUCACAAAGCCUUUGCAGCAGUUUCAGACCAUCCCAUUAAAUGAAGAUGAAUCCCUCCUAGGCUAUUUGUGGGUAUCCCUGGUUUUCUAGAUGCAAAGCCAUCUCUAAAAGGCAGUAUUUUGGAUGAAGUGUAUUUGGCAGCUGCUACAGUCAGCUCUCCUAAAUCAGCUCCUUCCGUAAAGACCAGGUCUCAAACAAAUGUGCCCUUAUUUUUAAUUAACAAUAUUGAAGUUCAUUGCAUUGCUUGUGAAGAAGGCAAACCUGGAAGUCCAAACCUUCUGUGAGCUGAUGAGAUGAAGCAGAAGCAGCAGGGAUACACCCCUUCCCAGAAAGCCCGGCUAAUACCUCAAAUGUCUUUAAAGGAGAGAAGGCAAUUCAUGUACAUAUUCCAUGACAUUUUAGGAGCAGGCCAUGGGUGAGAAAGGAGCCAGGAAGGAUCUUGCUAGAGGGGAAGCAGUUGCUGGAUAAACCUUGAGCUGAGCGGCCCAUUAAGCACAGCAAACCCAUGGUAGACUAAUGUACCAACUAAGGGAUCAAACCUGGCUCACAUCCUUGUCAGCUCUCAGUGCAACAGGAGGGUACAGAGAGUGCUGCUUAUGCUGUCCUCUCGUUUGCAAAGCUGGGUUGCUUAUUCCAGGUGCAUUAUCUGGUUGGUGCUGGUGGCCUGGAUGCAAGGCUUCCUAGAUACCAUAGGACAAAGGCUCUCACUUUGUGCUUGAUGAGUGCCUCUGGGUAGUCAGGAGCUUUCAAUUCAGUGCUAGAGCAUGCAUUUUGAAAAGUCCCUGAAAUGCAAGUACCUGAAUGCUAUGAAUUACCAUGAAUCAGCCGAGGUAAGCUUGCUACCAGGUAAAUCAGGAAAUGCGUGGUGUUGCACAGCCUAUUUGCUUGCUUUGGGCUUUGUGGUAGGCUGCAAGCAACUAACGAGGGCACUGAGGGCAGCUCUGCCAAGAGGAUUUCGGAGCAAUCCCUGAUGCUCUCCGGAUAUGCCUUACGGAGGGUUAGGAGCAGGGGGUGGAGAGGCAUUGAUAUGUUGAUAUGAUGGCACCGCUUGAUUAGAUGAAAGUUUCUCCUUUUGUAUAAGAGGAAGCUGCCAGGGAGCAGCCUCAUUUGCCUUGAGGACAGGUGCGUUUGCUUUGUGCAGGAGAUGCUGUUGUGAGCUCUUCUUUUCAUGUACCUUCACUCCAAAGCCAAACGAUGCAGCUGAUACAGAGGAAGGUCAACUGUUUGUAGAUGGAAAAAAGACAUAAAAGAUGUGAAGACAGAGAGCUGUUUAACUAAAUGAUAUUAUUCCUAGUUUAAAACACACAAAAAAAUCUCUCUGACCUCUAUGAAACAGUUUUCCCACUAUGCUGAAUUAGCUAUCUUUUCUUAUCAGUAUGAAAUAAUUCCUUCCCUAAUGCAAACAAUAUGCUUGUCAUACGAACAACAAGUUGUGAAGCUCACACUGGAGAAAUUUCUGGAGGAUCAGCAAUACUGAUAUGACUCUUCUCCUUAUGAAUUUGCCCCUGCCUCUUCAGGUCAUGUUUUUGAAUUCAGCUCUUCAGAUUCCGCAUUUAGAGCAGAAAAAAAAGCAAGCUGUUUAACCAGAGCUAUAAAAAGGUAAGCAAUAGUGUCUGGACAAGAAGGCUUGAGCAAAGCUUCUCCUCUGGAUGUGCAGACUAAUUAAAUUACUCAGAGAAGGAGG